UACGUAGGGUGCAAGCGUUUAAUCGGAAUUACUGGGCGUAAAGCGUGCGCAGGCGGUUCUAUAAGACAGAUGUGAAAUCCCCCGGGCUCAACCUGGGAACUGCAUUUGUGACUGUAGAGCUGGAGUACGGCAGAGGGGGAUGGAAUUCCGCGUGUAGCAGUGAAAUGCGUAGAUAUGCGGAGGAACACCGAUGGCGAAGGCAAUCCCCUGGGCCUGUACUGACGCUCAUGCACGAAAGCGUGGGGAGCAAACAGG
rnacentral:rRNA from 1 species